AGUGAACGCUGGCGGUAGGCCUAACACAUGCAAGUCGAACGGCAGCACAGUAAGAGCUUGCUCUUACGGGUGGCGAGUGGCGGACGGGUGAGGAAUACAUCGGAAUCUACUUUUUCGUGGGGGAUAACGUAGGGAAACUUACGCUAAUACCGCAUACGACCUACGGGUGAAAGCAGGGGAUCUUCGGACCUUGCGCGAUUGAAUGAGCCGAUGUCGGAUUAGCUAGUUGGCGGGGUAAAGGCCCACCAAGGCGACGAUCCGUAGCUGGUCUGAGAGGAUGAUCAGCCACACUGUAACUGAGACACGGUCCAGACUCCUACGGGAGGCAGCAGUGGGGAAUAUUGGGCAAUGGGCGCAAGCCUGAUCCAGCCAUACCGCGUGGGUGAAGAAGGCCUUCGGGUUGUAAAGCCCUUUUGUUGGGAAAGAAAAGCAGCAGGUUAAUACCCCGCUGUUCUGACGGUACCCAAAGAAUAAGCACCGGCUAACUUCGUG
rnacentral:rRNA from 1 species